UGACUGACAUUCAUCCUGCAAUCCUGAGG
rnacentral:piRNA from 1 species